UAAUCGGCCCUUUUCAGGGCCACCAUAUGAUUUUGACGAUGGAAU
rfam:Trichomalopsis sarcophagae strain Alberta scaffold3852, whole genome shotgun sequence.